rnacentral:lncRNA from 9 species
CCUCAUCCAUCUCUGUCCUCAGAGGAACACCAGCAAACCUGCUGCCCUCACGGGAAUGUCUGAGUCGCAGAAGCAGAGCUCCAGGGAGCCACGAAAUGGGGAAGGAGGCCUGGACAUCAGCCAGACAAAGAUUUUCUACAGAGGAAAGAUUUCAUUGCCAGUUUUUUAAAUGCCUUUUUUUGGUGGACGUCUGCCCUGGCCAUUGAAACAUGAAUAUUUGAAAAGAAGACGCCGUGACCUUUCUUCAUCAAAAAUAGAAGGAAAUGUUGGGCAAUUCCGGAAGGAUUUUACAUCCAGAGCUCUCAACUUAUCAGCAGCUACCCAGGUUCUUCAUGCUGUUACCAACUCCCUUACAGAGCUCCGUCCACUCGGGAUAGAACCCCAGAUCCACCUUCCUACCAAAAUACAUGUGUCCAGUGUCCUGGUUCCUCAGCUUCUUACUACCUGGAUGACUUGAAAAAGUCAACUUGAGCCCAAGGGUUAGAGAGGUAGUGAGUUGCUUCUUCUUUGAUAAUGACAGCUAACAUUUAUUAAAUAUUUACUAUGUGCCAGGCACUAAUCCAAGUUGUUCGUAUGUAAUUCACUUAAGAUCCAUUGCCAUCCCAUGAGAAAGUUACUGUGAGUAAGGAAACCGAGGCUCAGAGAGGUCCAACAACUUACCUAAAGUCACAAAGCAAAUAAGUGGUCAGUAUUUGAACCCAGAUAAUUUGAUUCUUGAACCUCUAGAUUCAGUGCUCUUAACCACCACACUGCACAACUUUUAGCAUUUUGUUUAUUAAUUUUGGGGAAUAAGAGCUUUGAAUGUUAAGCCGUGUCAUCCCAGGAGUUAAAGAUGCUCUGGCAGAACCAUCAGGAAAGAGAAUUUGGUGUAAAAGUCCUCAUGUCAGAUCUUGUACAUAAGAAUCCAUGGAUUUUGUGUCAAACAAACCCACCAUCCUCUUCAUAAGGUUAAAUGAAAACUCUCAAAGAGAUCAAAGAGAGCUUCUCGCAUCCCAAGGGCUUAAUACCUGAGACAUCCGCAGCAUGCCCAUCUGUUCUGUGAUGGUCUGGCUAUCCUUUCAGGGAUGUGUGGGGAAGAAAGUCUAUCUGGGUACCACUCUAGAGGGUGGCAGCACUUCUCCAAGUGAGGACUGUUGGGAUCACCUCCUCUUCCCUCCCUGGUGAGGAAAAGAUUCCAUCCCUAGAUUAUGGGGGCGGUCAGACACACGACCUCUGACGCUGGUGAGAAGAGACAGUUUAUUAGUCAUAUAUUCUCCGCCUGGGGGAAGAGAACACUGCACGCCACUGUGGCACGUUUCAUUUGGGAACAGCAGGGUUUGUGGGAGGCGGGUUCUGCAAUAGCAAGAGGGUAAGGCGAUCUCUGGCUCCUGUGGAAGAUGUGACUGGCUUGUUUUAAUCAUCCUACAGGCAGGCAGGGAACUGAAGCGUAUGCAGCCCCUGAGUCUGGUCAUUGUGAUGAGGUGGGUUGUUUGGCCAGGGACUUUAUCCACCAUGUAGAGAGGCGGGGCUUGUGGUUAGAACAUUCAGUGCCCUCCCAGCUUCUGAAGUCAAAGCAGCCCAUGCGUGAAGUGUGGUUUCAGAGCCUGGACCACAAGAAGGGAGGGGAGUCGGGGUGGAUAGUAAGGUGAGUUCAGGUGUUCCAAUACCUGCUCAUAAUCACAAGGAACCAGCUGGUGAGAAAGCUACUCCCUUUUCAGGUCUCCUUCAAUUUUCAGAUUUUGACAUUUUGUGAAUUUUCCACCCUUUUAAUACUUGCUGAUGUCCUUUUCUAACAGUAACAAAGGGAGCCCCGCACCUGUCCCUUGGACAGCUAACACUGUCCAGCCGGAAUUUAGAAGUACCAUUUCCUUUUCUGUGCAUUAAUAUUUGUCAUUUGCCUUCCACUCCUAAUAGGGGAUAUUGAUUUUUUCCAAUGAUGUGAUGGAGGUGCCUUUUAAAAUAAAUAUAAAUUAGAAAUGCAAUUAUUAAAAAAUAUUGAACAAAUGAUACAAUAGACAAUAGUGCAGACAGGGGUAGAAUUAUUAAACAGACAAAUCAUUAACACUGGGAAACUAUUUCUGGUCCAUCCACUUUGGGCACAGUAUUGACCUCUUUUUUUUUUUUUUUUUUUUGCUUUUUAGGGCCACACCUGUGGCAUAUGGGAGUUCCCAAGCUAGGGGUCGAAUCAGAGCUGCAGCUGCUGGCCUACACCACAGCCACAGCAAUGCCAGGUCUGAGUCACGUCUGAGACCUACACCACAGCUCACGGCAAUACCGGAUCCUUAACCCACUGAGGGACACCAGGGAUCGAACCCAUCCUAAUGGAUACUAGUCAGGUUUGUAACCGCUAGAGACACAAAAGGACGAUGACUCAAUAUUAAUUGAAUUCAUCAAGGUUGGGUAAUAUAUCACUAUCUGAGAGAGUUAUUUUUCAUUCAAGAUGCUCAAAUACUAAAAACGACAAAAAAAAAGUUUCCUUGAAAGACUAGAAUCCCUACUAUGGGAUCAAUUAUGUACAGUUUAACAGAGUACAUAAACACCACACACACACACACACACACACACACACACACACACACACACACACACACACACACACACACCAGCAGUCCAAGGAUAGAAAUGAAGACUAAUUUGGAGUAACAGAGUUCAAGUCUCUGUCCUCAUUCUAAUCAGGUUGCCCUUAAGGCUAUCAUUUUUACUUCUCUGUCAUAUGUUUUAUGCCCAUGUCCCUUUGUUUCUGAAAUGCUACAGCACAGUACACAGAAAGGAAAUAGAACUUUGAAGCUAGACAGACCUGGGUUCAAAUUCUGAUCCUGCUACCCUCUUGCUGGCUGACUUAGCCUCUCUGCACCUGACUUCCUCGACUAUAAAGUGAGGGUUAUUUGAAGAGAUGUUAGAGCUACUUCUUGAAAGGGGCUUAGCAGGGUACCCAACAGUGUUGUAAGCCCUUGAGAGCUGGCCAAUGCAGGCGAUUCCUCAAAGUUUGC